AAAGAAAAAAUAUAGGCCAGGCGUAAGCGUAAAUCGAUAUGUUGAAAUAAAAAAUACGAAGCACCGAUGAUAUAGAAAUAAUGAAUCCUAAUGUAAAUAGAGUUCAGGUUCGAAUUCGACAGAAUAUUUUCUAUAAUAUAGAUGGGAUUGUCUAUCAUUAUAGACAAAUGAAAAACUUUCUCAAGAUUCUUAUUCAUCCACUUGAAAUUUUCAAGUUCAACCAAGC
rnacentral:lncRNA from 1 species